rnacentral:rRNA from 1 species
CCUCCGGGUGGCUGCAGUGGGGAAUAUUGGACAAUGGGCGAAAGCCUGAUCCAGCCAUGCCGCGUGUGUGAAGAAGGCCUUCGGGUUGUAAAGCACUUUCAGUGGGGAAGAAAGCCUUGGGGCUAAUACCCUCGAGGAAGGACAUCACCCACAGAAGAAGCACCGGCUAACUCCGUGCCAGCAGCCGCGGUAAUACGGAGGGUGCGAGCGUUAAUCGGAAUUACUGGGCGUAAAGCGCGCGUAGGCGGUCUGAUAAGCCGGUUGUGAAAGCCCCGGGCUCAACCUGGGAACGGCAUCCGGAACUGUCAGGCUAGAGUGCAGGAGAGGAAGGUAGAAUUCCCGGUGUAGCGGUGAAAUGCGUAGAGAUCGGGAGGAAUACCAGUGGCGAAGGCGGCCUUCUGGACUGACACUGACGCUGAGGUGCGAAAGCGUGGGUAGCAAACAGGAUUAGAUACCCUAGUAGUC